UGAACGCUGGCGGCGUGCCUAAUACAUGCAAGUCGAGCGAACGGACGAGAAGCUUGCUUCUCUGAUGUUAGCGGCGGACGGGUGAGUAACACGUGGAUAACCUACCUAUAAGACUGGGAUAACUUCGGGAAACCGGAGCUAAUACCGGAUAAUAUUUUGAACCGCAUGGUUCAAAAGUGAAAGACGGUCUUGCUGUCACUUAUAGAUGGAUCCGCGCUGCAUUAGCUAGUUGGUAAGGUAACGGCUUACCAAGGCAACGAUGCAUAGCCGACCUGAGAGGGUGAUCGGCCACACUGGAACUGAGACACGGUCCAGACUCCUACGGGAGGCAGCAGUAGGGAAUCUUCCGCAAUGGGCGAAAGCCUGACGGAGCAACGCCGCGUGAGUGAUGAAGGUCUUCGGAUCGUAAAACUCUGUCAUUAGGGAAGAACAUAUGUGUAAGUAACUGUGCACAUCUUGACGGUACCUAAUCAGAAAGCCACGGCUAACUACGUG
rnacentral:rRNA from 1 species